rnacentral:lncRNA from 1 species
AAUGAAGAAAGUAUUAACUUCAAAUAAAAACAACGAAUUGAUUCAUAGCAUCUGCAAGUUCAAGGCCUUGUAGAAAUCAUCCCACAUCUCAUGAACAUCCCUUGGACUUGCAUCCUUAAAGCUCCAAAUCACGAUGUGUUUGCAAUAUCAUUUUGGUGAGUAUGGAGUAUCACCCAAUUACAUCAAUUGUAGAGCAGCUGAAUGAUAGGGUUGAUGGGAUAUAAACAAUGAGGGAGAAAAUGUUAACAAUCUAUUGGAAGUUUAAGACUUUAGGCUUGGAGGUAAGGCAAAUUACCUUCAUAUAAAGACUAAACAGGAAAAAUAAACACUUUAUAGAACACCAGGAAAUGGAUCAAAUUGAACUGUAUUCCAGGUACCUUUUAAAGCAGAUUUAACAUUAGUAACAUUAUGCUGCUGCUUUUGCAUAUUUGAUUUGUGAAGAGAGUUGAAACUGUUUCCACAUGCAUUUAGAUCCCUCAAAGAUUCAUGGUUUGCUUCACUGUUGCCAA